rnacentral:tRNA from 1 species
GGUUCCAUGGUCGUGUUGGUUUUGACGCCUGCCUGUCACGCAGGAGAUCUCGGGUUCGUGUCCCGUUGGGACCU